rnacentral:rRNA from 1 species
GGAUAAACGCUAGCGACAGGCCUAACACAUGCAAGUCGAGGGGCAGCACAUGAGUAGCAAUACGAUGGUGGCGACCGGCGCACGGGUGAGUAACACGUAUGCAACCUACCCAUAAGAGGGGAAUAACCCGGAGAAAUUCGGACUAACACCGCAUAAUACUGAAUAUUCGCAUGGAUUUUCAGUUAAAUAUUAAUAGCUUAUGGAUGGGCAUGCGUAUGAUUAGAUAGUUGGUAGGGUAACGGCCUACCAAGUCAACGAUCAUUAGGGGUUCUGAGAGGAAGGUCCCCCACAUUGGAACUGAGACACGGUCCAAACUCCUACGGGAGGCAGCAGUGAGGAAUAUUGGUCAAUGGGCGAGAGCCUGAACCAGCCAUGUCGCGUGAAGGAAGAAGGAUCUAUGGUUCGUAAACUUCUUUUGCAGGGGAAUAAAGUGCAGGACGUGUCCUGUUUUGUAUGUACCCUGAGAAUAAGGAUCGGCUAACUCCGUG